UACGUAUGGAGCAAGCGUUAUCCGGAUUUACUGGGUGUAAAGGGAGCGUAGACGGCGAAGCAAGUCUGAAGUGAAAAUCCGGGGCUCAACUCCGGAAGUGCUUUGGAAACUGUUUUGAUAGAGUGUCGGAGAGGUAAGUGGAAUUCCUGGUGUAGCGGUGAAAUGCGUAGAUAUCAGGAAGAACACCGGUGGCGAAGGCGGCUACCUAGACAGAGACUGACGCGGAUGUACGAAAGCGUGGGGAGCAAAUAGG
rnacentral:rRNA from 1 species